GACAGAGGGUGCAAACGUUGUUCGGAAUUACUGGGCGUAAAGCGCGUGUAGGCGGCCCUGCAAGUCGGAUGUGAAGUCCCACGGCUCAACCGUGGAAGUGCAUUCGAAACUGCAGGGCUAGAGUCCUGGAGAGGAAGGUGGAAUGCUUGGUGUAGAGGUGAAAUUCGUAGAUAUCAAGCGGAACACCGGUGGCGAAGGCGGCCUUCUGGACAGUGACUGACGCUGAGACGCGAAAGCGUGGGGAGCAAACAGG
rnacentral:rRNA from 1 species